rnacentral:rRNA from 1 species
GAUGAACGCUGGCGGCGUGCCUAAUACAUGCAAGUCGAGCGAACGGACGAGAAGCUUGCUUCUCUGCUGUUAGCGGCGGACGGGUGAGUAAUACGUGGAUAACCUACCUAUAAGACUGGGAUAACUUCGGGAAACCGUAGCUAAUACCGGAUAAUAUUUUGAACCGCAUGGUUCAAAAGUGAAAGACGGUCUUGCUGUCACUUAUAGAUGGAUCCGCGCUGCAUUAGCUAGUUGGUAAGGUAACGGCUUACCAAGGCAACGAUGCAUAGCCGACCUGAGAGGGUGAUCGGCCAAAAUGGAACAGGGACACGGGCCAAAAUGCUACGGGAGGCAGCAGUAGGGAAAAUUCCGCAAUGGGCGGAAGGCUGACGGAGCAACGACGCGUGAGUGAUGAAAGUCUUCGGAUCGUAAAACUCUGUUAUUAGGGAAGAAAAUAAGUGUAAGUAACUGUGCACAUCUUGAAGGUACCUAAACAGAAAGCCACGGCUAACUACGUG